rnacentral:lncRNA from 1 species
GGCAAGGUAUCCCUAAGGAUUAUUACAACCUUUAGGGACCCACAUUUAAGGAAGCCCAUUGCAACAUGUACUCCCAAGGUGGCUGUCCCAGGAAAAGGAAAGGUAGCAAAGACUCUCAAAACUGCCCCCAGAGGCAAUGUGCAGCCUUGGCUUUCACAUGCCAUUGGUCAAAGCAAGUCCCAUGGCCAGGCCUAACUUCAAAGGGGACAGAAAGUACAAUAAUUCCAUGUAAUAUUUGUGAAAGGCCCUAAUGGCAUCAUAAUGAGAAUGGAUCCCAUUACUAGCACUUUUAUAAAACGUGUAUCAACAUUUUAUGUUUUAGGGUGCAGAUGCUCAAAUCUUUGUUUUACAUCCUGAUUCUCCAAUUUGCCAAAUACUAUCACCUUACUCUACCGUCUUUGUUAGGAACAUUGCUAACACCAUCUGCAUAAUUGGCACCCUUUCCUGGUAUGGGAGAAGCACAGUUGACAGCCAGUGUUUUGGUGGCAAGAGGUGAUUUGUGUGUGCAUUUGGGUUCGGCAAGUGCUUCGUCCUAGGUGGGGAGGAUUCCUGAGCACAGUCAAAAGAUCAGCAAAGCGUGGCCGGGGAAAUGCGGGGGACUUUGGAGAGGAGAGUGAGUGCAGGGUCUGUAGUGGGUAAAGGAACCCUUGAAAAGGUGUCUGGGAGAUGAGGCACCCCAGAAGCAGCCUUAGGAGAUGCUUGGGUGGGGUGGGGGAGUAGAUAGGAGCACCAGGCUGGACAGAGCCCAUUCCACGCCUGCUUCUGCCAACUGCCAGUCUGGGAUGCUGGGUGAAUCCCUCAGUUUUCUUUUUUUCUUUUUUAUUUUUUUUGAGAUGGAGUCUCGCACUGUCUCCCAGGCUGGAGUGCAGUGGUGUGAUCUUGGCUCACUGCAAGCUCCGCCUCCCAGGUUCACGCCAUUCUCCUGCCUCAGCCUCCCGAGUAGCUGGGACUACAGGCGCCCGCCACUACGCCGGGCUAAUUUUUUGUAUUUUUAGUAGAGACGAGGUUUCACUGUGUUAGCCAGAUGGUCUUGAUCUCCUGACCUCGUGAUCCACCCACCUCAGCCUCCCAAAGUGCUGGGAUUACAGGCAUGAGCCACCGUCCCCGGCUGAAUCCCUCAGUUUUCUAAAGUGCAGUUUUGUUACCUUGACCGCAUGAAGUUUCUCCUUGUCUGCCUCCCCAAGCACGAAACAGGCACCAUUUGAUGUGUUUUCACUGUUCCAAUUUUCCAUUUUCCAGGCCAAGACGAAUUGACAGAACUUCCAAAACACUUUGCAAAGACAGCGAGUGCACAAAGCUGCAGCUCACAGCCUUGUCCCGUGGCCGGGAGACAGGAUGCAUGCUGAGCUGCUGGGAGGAGGGACAGGAGGAAAAGUGCCUGCAGCUGCAGGAGCACCCACUUGAGAUGCCUCCUGUGUUCAAUCAAGUUCAGAGUAAUUGCUUCCUCACUCCUCCUGGCAAAACUGUUCAACUUGGCACAGUGACAGCUCCUUGUAGAGUUUUUCCAGCUGAUGUCAUUCUUCCUAAGGUCUGCUAGGGUCCCAGCUAACACGACUGUGUUGCACUGGCAUCCAGACCUCCACCAGGAGCAAUUCAAAGGCCUAUUUUUGUGAAUAUGUGGCAAAGAUCCCAGGCUCCAUGGAGGCCUUUUGCACUGGGGACAUGGUGGAAAAUUAAGCCCCAGAGGUAACUACCUACCUGAACGGCAUGAGACCAGCUGAUUAGAUGACAGAAUGGGCAGAUCCGUGGAAGGGAUUGAGUGAGCACUAACAUCGAGCAUUCUUAUAAACUAAGUGAGACUGCAAGAGUCAGGGGCCACUGUGCACAAUUGUGUGAGCUGUGUUUUGCAGCAGGUGUCUGGGGAGCUCAAAUCCACCCACAAAGGGAAGCCUUUCUGACUUGUACAAAGGGCCAUAAGUGGUGGCUCGAACCUGAGGCUCUACCAUGCAGUGAGUGUGGAGAUGUGGAGAUGGGUACACAGGAAUGGACAAUCUAGAGAGGGGAAGAGACUAACAUCCAGCAGCACGUUAACUGUGAAAGCAAACUAAAUAUGGCCUGAGAAGGACUCCAUACUUCUAUAUUUGAGUCCUCGCGGAUGGACUGUAACCUAGCUUAAUAGGCGGACAAAAUUGCAAACAUAACCUGGUAGUAUGCACCUCCAACAAUAGCUAAGUCUUGGCCAACCCCAGUGGCCAUACUCAACCAACCAUACACUGCUGAGUGUUCAAAUUAGGCAUACGCCAAGCAGUAACCAAUCCAGCUGUUUUAUACUUCACUUCUAAUUUCUGUACAUCAUUCCCCCCCCCCCACCUUUUUUUGUCUAUAAAUCUUCUCCACCUGGCUGUGCUGGAGUCUCUGUGAACCUGCUGUGAUUCUGGGGGCUGCCCAAUUCUCAAAUCGAUCAUUGCUCAAUUAAACUUUA